UACGGAGGGGGCAAGCGUUACUCGGAAUUAUUGGGCGUAAAGGGCGCGUAGGCGGUCUUGCGCGUCAGAGGUGAAAUCCCCGGGCUUAACCCGGGACCUGCCUCUGAUACGGCAAGACUUGAGUCCGGGAGAGGGGAGCAGAAUUCCCAGUGUAGCGGUGAAAUGCGUAGAUAUUGGGAGGAAUACCGGUGGCGAAGGCGGCUCCCUGGACCGGUACUGACGCUGAGGCGCGAAAGCGUGGGUAG
rnacentral:rRNA from 1 species